rnacentral:tRNA from 1 species
GCGGUUGCGGCUCAGUGGUAGAGUGCAUGUCUAGCAUGUGUGAGGUCCUGGGUUAGAUCCUCAGCACCACA